rnacentral:rRNA from 1 species
GAUGAACGCUGGCGGCGUGCUUAACACAUGCAAGUCGAACGGAAAGGCCCAAGCUUGCUUGGGUACUCGAGUGGCGAACGGGUGAGUAACACGUGGGUGAUCUGCCCUGCACUUCGGGAUAAGCCUGGGAAACUGGGUCUAAUACCGGAUAGGACCACAUUUUGGAUGGUGUGGUGGAAAGUUUUUCGGUGUGGGAUGAGCUCGCGGCCUAUCAGCUUGUUGGUGGGGUAAUGGCCUACCAAGGCGUCGACGGGUAGCCGGCCUGAGAGGGUGUACGGCCACGUUGGGACUGAGAUACGGCCCAGACUCCUACGGGAGGCAGCAGUGGGGAAUAUUGCACAAUGGGCGCAAGCCUGAUGCAGCGACGCCGCGUGGGGGAUGACGGUCUUCGGGUUGUAACCUCCUUUCGCUAGGGACGAAGCGCAAGUGACGGUAACUGGAGAAGAAGCACCGGCUAACUACGUG